rnacentral:rRNA from 1 species
UGUAGGCUUUGGAAACUGUUUAACUUGAGUGCAGAAGGGGAGAGUGGAAUUCCAUGUGUAGCGGUGAAAUGCGUAGAUAUAUGGAGGAACACCGGUGGCGAAAGCGGCUCUCUGGUCUGUAACUGACGCUGAGGCUCGAAAGCGUGGGGAGCGAACAGGAUUAGAUACCCUGGUAGUCCACGCCGUAAACGAUGAGUGCUAGGUGUUAGGUCCUUUCCGGGACUUAGUGCCGCAGCUAACGCAUUAAGCACUCCGCCUGGGGAGUACGACCGCAAGGUUGAAACUCAAAGGAAUUGACGGGGGCCCGCACAAGCGGUGGAGCAUGUGGUUUAAUUCGAAGCAACGCGAAGAACCUUACCAGGUCUUGACAUCCCGAUGCUAUUUCUAGAGAUAGGAAGUUUCUUCGGAACAUCGGUGACAGGUGGUGCAUGGUUGUCGUCAGCUCGUGUCGUGAGAUGUUGGGUUNNNNNNCGCAACGAGCGCAACCCUUAUUGUUAGUUGCCAUCAUUGAGUUGGGCACUCUAGCGAGACUGCCGGUAAUAAACCGGAGGAAGGUGGGGAUGACGUCAAAUCAUCAUGUCCCUUAUGACCUGGGCUACACACGUGCUACAAUGGCUGGUACAACGAGUCGCAAGCCGGUGACGGCAAGCUAAUCUCUGAAAGCCAGUCUCAGUUCGGAUUGUAGGCUGCAACUCGCCUACAUGAAGUCGGAAUCGCUAGUAAUCGCGGAUCAGCACGCCGCGGUGAAUACGUUCCCGGGCCU